AACUUUUUAAGCACCUCAAUGUGCAUUUUUAAAUAGUUAUUUUCAUUUUUAAGCUGCUGUUCAUUUGAUAGAUUUUCUGGACCUUUUCCAUAAGCAUAUUUUUUUCAACGGGUUGAAUCAGACGAUGAUGAUUCUCGCCAUUACGAUACCCCAACGCCACCAUGUGUCAAUUUGUGUUUUGUUUUUAAUUCCUAAUUCUUCCAUAAUCGUUUUUACAGGAAUAUUCUCUUUUUUCAUCUGUAUAGCCAUUUCUUUGAUGUAAAUAGGAUAAGAUACUCAAUUUCUCAUUGAAAAAGCACCUCCUAGUUAAAUUCAUUUUAACGUGAAUUCAACAAGAGGUGCUUUUUUUGUCUCAGUUUAUUGGGUCAGUUCCCUAUUUGUUUGGUCACUUUUAUUUUAGCAAAGGUGUUCUUAUUUUUAUACAAAAAAUAAUCCAGAUGUCAAUCAAUCUUAUUAAUUGUUAUCUGGAUUUU
rnacentral:misc_RNA from 1 species